CUUGUCCCGGGAGACGCGGUCCGACAGCGAGGCCGAAUCGGUGAAGCUGGGCCUCACACCCCGCCAGCCCCGGGCUGAGUUCCCUGCUGACCCUGGCGGAGGCCCCUUAAAUGGCACGCGGUUCUGGAAAUACACUCUCAAGACUCCAGUUUGUUCUUCCAGCUCACGCCAACGGCUAAGGUCCAACUGAUUUCUCUUCAUCUCUAAAAAGUUACUGGACCAUGGCAGGCCAACACUUCCCUCAGUGGAUGGGCAGAGCUCACUGCCGGAAAAUGCAAAAACCUCCAAGGAACAUUGAAGAAUUCUUAAAGUUUCAAAAUUGG
rnacentral:lncRNA from 1 species